AGAAAAGAUGACGAGAAGGAGAGGUCUUAGAACACAUCCUUAUCUGAAGGACAGGAUACAGUCUUGUUUUAGGAAACUCCAGCUGCUCUGUGUCAUUGAAAGGGAAGAGGAGAGACCAGAUGGUCCACGUUCGCCACGGCACCGGGAAGGACCUGAGACUGACUGCAGGCCCUUCAUGAAAGCAAAGCCUGGGUGUGUUAUAACCGCCAAUCCCACUCUCCCACAGUGAGGUCCAUCCCGGCAGAGGCUGAGUCCACCUUGACCACUGAGACAAACAGACCUGGCGAUGGACUCAGUGUUUUUAAACUGUGGAGCUUGGACAGGGAGGGGCGAGAUGGAGAACGAGGUAUACACUAAAGAGAACAACGUGAUGAGGGCAUGAAGUGUGCUUACCAACCUUCCCUCACCCAGAGGCUGGAAGAGAUUUUAGAGCUUAACAGAAAAACAGUGGGAAAAGGACACUGCUGGGCAAAAGACAUGAACUAAAAACUUCUUGGCUGUCCCCAUCAGUGGCACGGUGGUCUCAGCAGUACCGAUGUGGAUACUCAAGAACGUGAGGCUACCGUGGAAAUGCUUUGCUUAAACCACGGGUGAGUUUCCAAGGAGUGAAGAUCCCCAGGGAAAGCAUCUAGGACCCUGCCGUGUUGGCCCAGCUCUGGGAAGUCAAUCGACGUGGACCCCUUACUGUGUUAACUGCUAACCAGCCUUCUGUAAAAAUGAUAUUGCAAAUUCA
rnacentral:antisense_RNA from 1 species